AUCCUUUUGUGGUUCUUAAGCAGGGUGAUCAGGUAUUCCUACCAUUUUGUGAGAUGUGUCUCCCUUGAGCCUUGAAUGCUGCUAGCACUGUACUCAUCUGACA
rfam:Tupaia chinensis contig172781, whole genome shotgun sequence.